rnacentral:rRNA from 1 species
CACGCCCUAAACGAUCUUCUCUAGUUUUUCGGAGUAUCGACCCUCUGAGAGACGAAGCUAACGCGUUAAGAGAAGCGCCUGGGUAGUACGACCGCAAGGUUAAAACUCAAAGGAAUAGACGGGGACUUGCACAAGUAGUGGAUCAUGUGGUUUAAUUCGAUGAUAAACGAAGAACCUUACCAGGGUUUAAACUAGCUGAAGACAAGAAGAAACUUUUGUCGUCGCAAGACAGUUAGUCAGGUGA